UCCCUUCUCGGGGAACACUCUCGACCUCACAAACCCUUGACCUCAA
rnacentral:rRNA from 1 species